rnacentral:rRNA from 1 species
UACGUAAGCCGAAGCGAAAGCGAGUCUGAAUAGGGCGUCAAGUUGGUGGUGGUAGACGCGAAACCUAGUGAUCUACCCAUGGGCAGGGUGAAGGCUUGGUAACACCAGCUGGAGGCCCGAACCGGUAAACGUUGAAAAGUUUUCGGAUGACCUGUGGGUAGGGGUGAAAGGCCAAUCAAACUGGGAAAUAGCUCGUACUCUCCGAAAUGCAUUUAGGUGCAGCCUCUGUUGUUUUGUUCUAGAGGUAGAGCUACUGAUUGGAUGCGAGGGCUUCACCGCCUAUCAAAUCCGGCCAAACUCCGAAUGCUAGAACAUGAAGACAGGGAGUGAGCCAGCGGGUGCUAAGGUCCGUUGACGAAAGAGGGAGAACUCAGACCAUCAGCUAAGGUCCCCAAUUAUAUGCUAAGUUGGAAUAAAAACGGGGUGGGACUGCUUAGACAGCUAGGAUGUUGGCUUGGAAGCAGCCAUUCAUUUAAAGAGUGCGUAACAGCUCACUAGUCGAGCGGUCCUGCAUGGAUAAUACGCGGGCAUAAGCAUAUAACCGAAGCUAUGGGAUUGUAGAUGAUACAAUCGGUAGGAGAGCAUUCCAUUCAGCAUAGAAGCAGUACCGUGAGGUAUUGUGGAGCGGAUGGAAAAGCAAAUGUAGGCAUAAGUAACGAUAAUGCGGGUGAGAACCCCGCACGCCGAAAGAUCAAGGAUUCCCCGGCAAUGUCAAUCAUCCGGGGGUAAGUCGGAUCCUAAGGGUAAGCCGAGUGGCGAUCCCGAUGGCAAACAGGUUAAUAUUCCUGUACUGAUCAUAACUGCGAUGCAGCGACGCAGAGGUGACACUGCUGCGUACUGACGGAAUAGUACGUUGAAACCCGUAUUCUUUGAUACCGGUAGUGAAGCACGCCGGUAGAGAUGAAAGGUGAUAGUACCGCAAUGCUUCGGUUGCGCGGAUAAUGCAGGUAAGCUGACUGCCAAGAAAACCUGCUAAGCUUCAGGUAAUGAUCAUCCGUACUGUAAACGGACACACGUGAUCAGGUAGAAAAUACUAAGGCGCUGAGAGAUUCAUGGUUAAGGAACUAGGCAAAAUGGUCCUGUAACUUCGGGAUAAAGGACGCUCUUGUGAAAGAGCCGCAGAUAAUAGGCCCAGGCGACUGUUUACCAAAAACACAUGGCUAUGCUAAUUCGCAAGAAGAUGUAUAUGGCCUGACACCUGCCCGGUGCCGGAAGGUUAAGAGGAGAGCUCAGAGGUAACUCGAAGGUUUGAAUUGAAGCCCCGGUAAACGGCGGCCGUAACUAUAACGGUCCUAAGGUAGCGAAAUUCCUUGUCGGGUAAGUUCCGACCUGCACGAAUGGUGUAACGAUCUGGGCACUGUCUCAACCGUGAGCUCGGUGAAAUUGUAGUUCCGGUGAAGAUGCCGGAUACCCGCAACGGGACGGAAAGACCCCGUGAACCUUUACUGCAGCUUUGCAUUGAUUUUGGGUAACAGAUGUGUAGGAUAGGUCGGAGGCUUUGAUGCUGCGUCGUCAGGCGUAGAGUAGCCGUCGUUGAAAUACGACCCUUUUGUUAUCUGAGGUCUAACCCGUUAGGGAGACAUUGCAUGGUGGGUAGUUUGACUGGGGUGGUCGCCUCCAAAAGUGUAACGGAGGCUUCUUAAGGUACCCUCAAGGCGUUUGGUAAUCGUCUGCAGAGUGCAAUGGCAUAAGGGUGCUUGACUGUGAGACCGACACGUCGAUCAGGUUGGAAACA